GCCUGCGAAGGUGGCCUGUGAGGGUUGCUGGAGGUAUCAGAAGUGCGAAUGCUGACAUAAGUAACGAUAAAGCGGGUGAAAAGCCCGCUCGCCGGAAGACCAAGGGUUCCUGUCCAACGUUAAUCGGGGCAGGGUGAGUCGACCCCUAAGGCGAGGCCGAAAGGCGUAGUCGAUGGGAAACGGGUUAAUAUUCCCGUACUUGGUGUUACUGCGAAGGGGGGACGGAGAAGGCUAUGUUGGCCGGGCGACGGUUGUCCCGGUUUAAGCGUGUAGGUGUGUGUUCCAGGUAAAUCCGGUUCACUUUAACACUGAGGCGUGACGACGAGGCACUACGGUGCUGAAGCAACAAAUGCCCUGCUUCCAGGAAAAGCCUCUAAGCAUCAGGUAACAUCAAAUCGUACCCCAAACCGACACAGGUGGUCAGGUAGAGAAUACCAAGGCGCUUGAGAGAACUCGGGUGAAGGAACUAGGCAAAAUGGUGCCGUAACUUCGGGAGAAGGCACGCUGACACGUAGGUGAAGUGAUUUACUCAUGGAGCUGAAGUCAGUCGAAGAUACCAGCUGGCUGCAACUGUUUAUUAAAAACACAGCACUGUGCAAACACGAAAGUGGACGUAUACGGUGUGACGCCUGCCCGGUGCCGGAAGGUUAAUUGAUGGGGUCAGCGCAAGCGAAGCUCCUGAUCGAAGCCCCGGUAAACGGCGGCCGUAACUAUAACGGUCCUAAGGUAGCGAAAUUCCUUGUCGGGUAAGUUCCGACCUGCACGAAUGGCGUAAUGAUGGCCAGGCUGUCUCCACCCGAGACUCAGUGAAAUUGAACUCGCUGUGAAGAUGCAGUGUACCCGCGGCAAGACGGAAAGACCCCGUGAACCUUUACUAUAGCUUGACACUGAACAUUGAGCCUUGAUGUGUAGGAUAGGUGGGAGGCUUUGAAGUGUGGACGCCAGUCUGCAUGGAGCCGACCUUGAAAUACCACCCUUUAAUGUUUGAUGUUCUAACGUGGACCCGUUACCCGGGUUGCGGACAGUGUCUGGUGGGUAGUUUGACUGGGGCGGUCUCCUCCUAAAGAGUAACGGAGGAGCACGAAGGUUGGCUAAUCCUGGUCGGACAUCAGGAGGUUAGUGCAAUGGCAUAAGCCAGCUUGACUGCGAGCGUGACGGCGCGAGCAGGUGCGAAAGCAGGUCAUAGUGAUCCGGUGGUUCUGAAUGGAAGGGCCAUCGCUCAACGGAUAAAAGGUACUCCGGGGAUAACAGGCUGAUACCGCCCAAGAGUUCAUAUCGACGGCGGUGUUUGGCACCUCGAUGUCGGCUCAUCACAUCCUGGGGCUGAAGUAGGUCCCAAGGGUAUGGCUGUUCGCCAUUUAAAGUGGUACGCGAGCUGGGUUUAGAACGUCGUGAGACAGUUCGGUCCCUAUCUGCCGUGGGCGCUGGAGAACUGAGGGGGGCUGCUCCUAGUACGAGAGGACCGGAGUGGACGCAUCACUGGUGUUCGGGUUGUCAUGCCAAUGGCACUGCCCGGUAGCUAAAUGCGGAAGAGAUAAGUGCUGAAAGCAUCUAAGCACGAAACUUGCCCCGAG
rnacentral:rRNA from 2 species